rnacentral:rRNA from 1 species
UAGACAAUCUACCUCUUAGAGGGGGAUAGCCAAUCGAAAGGUUGGGUAAUACCGCGUACGAUCAUGAUUCGGCAUCGGGUUAUGAUGAAACAUCCGCAAGGAUGGCUAAGAGAGGAGUCUGCGGCCUAUCAGCUUGUUGGCGGGGUAACGGCCCACCAAGGCAACGACGGGUAUCCGACCUGAAAGGGUGACCGGACACACUGACACUGAGACACGGGUCAG